rnacentral:tRNA from 1 species
CUAGGUGUAGCUUAACGGAAAGCACUGCCUUUGGGCGGCAGAAGUUGUAGGUUCGAAUCCUUCCACUUAGACCA